GACAGAGGUGCCGAGCGUUAGGCGGAAUCACUGGGCUUAAAGCGUGUGUAGGCGGGUGCCUAAGUACCUUGUGAAAUCCCACGGCUCAACCGUGGAACUGCUCGGUAUACUGGGUGCCUUGAGCCAACUAGGGGCGACCGGAACAAACGGUGGAGCGGUGAAAUGCGUAGAUAUCUGGAGGAACACCGGUGGCGAAGGCGGCAUCCUGGACCGGCAUUGACGCUGAGGAGCGAAAGCCAGGGGAGCAAACGGG
rnacentral:rRNA from 1 species